rnacentral:rRNA from 1 species
CAGCAGCCGCCACGGUAAUACGUAGGGUGCAAGCGUUAAUCGGAAUUACUGGGCGUAAAGCGUGCGCAGGCGGUUAUAUAAGACAGAUGUGAAAUCCCCGGGCUCAACCUGGGAACUGCAUUUGUGACUGUAUAGCUAGAGUACGGCAGAGGGGGAUGGAAUUCCGCGUGUAGCAGUGAAAUGCGUAGAUAUGCGGAGGAACACCGAUGGCGAAGGCAAUCCCCUGGGCCUGUACUGACGCUCAUGCACGAAAGCGUGGGGAGCAAACAGGAUUAGAUACCCCGGUAGUCCCUGUCUCUUU